CCCAGGGCACAGGCCCGCUUCCCCUCCAGGGCUGUACAUUUGCCUUUUAGGAGCCAGAGUUGAGCAGCUCCUGGCUGGGUGUUGGGAACCGUGCCCCAGGCCCAUGGACAGCACAGCCAGCCUCUUGGAAGUCUCAGAAAAUGUAUCACCCGUCACAGGGAUGGUUUCCUGUCUCUGCAGAUACUUCACUCUCCCCUCCCCCGACUCCUCCUCCUGGGCCAUUUCCCAGAAGCGCUCAUCCCCAUGCCCACACGAACACAAACCUCCACGCAGCACUGACCAAGAGCCAGGCCCUACCCCAGGACCUCACAGAUGUCACCUUCGCGGUCCUUUCAGCAACCGAAUGAGGUAGGCCUAUCAUUAUCCCCUCUUCACAGAUGGGGAAACCGAGGCACGGAGCUGUGAAGUGACUUGCCCAAGGCCCCACCGGCAGCCAGUGGCAGAGCCAGGUGCCCCCCAAGAUGUUCACGCCCUAAUCCUCAGGAUCUGCAGACAUGUCACCUUUCAUGGCAAAAGGUCUUUGCAAAUGUGAUGAAACAUCUGAAGAUGGCAAGAUUCUCUUAGGUGAUCUCAGUGGGUCCCAGAGGGGGAACGAUGAAUUGACAGUCUCCCAGCCUGUCUUCCCCACCAGCCAUCCAAGAACCCUGCCUGCCAGGAUGCUGGUCCUGUGUCUGCCUGCCCCACGCCACCGUCACCUUGCAGAGAAACACUGAUUGCCUUCACACAUCUGGCUC
rnacentral:lncRNA from 1 species